UACUCAGGAAAUUAGAGAAGAAAAUAUGUAACGGAGAGAGUAAUUUUGGGACGAACUCCUUGAAGAAACACUAAAAAUAGGAUUUAAUCAAUACUACGUGCUAAGAAUAGUAUCGGUUGUGAUCUCCACUGCAAUGAUAGCUCCGCAUUUGUACGAGGAUUUGGAAGCCGGAGGAUAACUGAAAGGCAAAUAUUUGUGUAUUGAUAGUGCCAGGGGGCAUUAGAUGGUGCCAUUUGUUCCCGCAAUGACGUCACUAGCACAAAGGUCAAUGAAAUCAACUUGUAGAAUGUACGUCAGAGGCUUUUGAAUUAUGUUACCAAGGGCAACGGAUUUACGUAGGCGGUUUUAGGGAUCGAUUUUCCAAAGGAUACGAUAGUGCUCAUUUCAAACAUGCAUUUCUACAGUUAAGAACUGAUUGCACUAAAAUCGGAUUACUUAAUGACAUGUAUUUAGCAAAUAAAUACUUACAAUUAAACAGAUUUAUUCCAGAAUGUAUGCAGCUGUUCCAAGAUAAGUACUAUACGGGCGAUCUCAAGACGGCAGAAACCAAGACGAAAUAUCGAGCAUUUAUCAUAAUAACAAUAAAAAGCCUACGCCGCACUAUUUUGUUCUGCUAUGAAAUGCAACACUAGGACAAAAACCAGCAGCAACAGUAACACAGUUUUAAAGUCCGCAAAACAUAAAUAUUUGUUCAAUUAUUUUAAAUACUUUUUACCAGUUUUAACUUCUUUUCAAUACUUUUUUUUAUAUUUUUCACUUCUUUUCAAUACUUUUGAAAAUCUUUUUUAUUUUAAACAUUUUAAUAUUUUUCACUUCUUUUGAAUAAGUUUUCUAUCUUUUGAAUAUCUUUCACUUAUUUUCAAUACAUUUUAAUAUUUUUCAAAUUUUAAUAACAUUUUUUCUCUUUUUUUUUUUGAAUGCUUUUCAUUUAUUUAUUUUUUAAAUAUUUUUCAGUUCUUUUCAAUA